CCUACGGGCGGCUGCAGUGAGGAAUAUUGGUCAAUGGACGAGAGUCUGAACCUGCCAAGUAGCGUGAAGGAUGACUGCCCUAUGGGUUGUAAACUUCUUUUAUAUGGGAAUAAAAUGUUCCACGUGUGGGAUUUUGUAUGUACCAUAUGAAUAAGGAUCGGCUAACUCCGUGCCAGCAGCCGCGGUAAUACGGAGGAUCCGAGCGUUAUCCGGAUUUAUUGGGUUUAAAGGGAGCGUAGGUGGAUUGUUAAGUCAGUUGGGAAAGUUUGCGGCUCAACCGUAAAAUUGCAGUUGAAACUGGCAGUCUUGAGUACAGUAGAGGUGGGCGGAAUUCGUGGUGUAGCGGUGAAAUGCUUAGAUAUCACGAAGAACUGCGAUUGCGAAGGCAGCUCACUGGACUGCAACUGACACUGAGGCUCGAAAGUGUGGGUAUCAAACAGGAUUAGAUACCGGUAGUC
rnacentral:rRNA from 1 species